rnacentral:misc_RNA from 1 species
GAUGAAGAACGCAGUGAAAUGCGAUACGUAAUGUGAAUUGCAGAAUUCAGUGAAUCAUCGAAUCUUUGAACGCAUAUUGCGCUCUCUGGUAUUCCGGAGAGCAUGCUUGUUUGAGUAUCAGUAAACACCUCAACUUCCAUAUCUUUUUUGAAAUGGGAGUUGGACUUGAGUGAUCCCAACGCUUUUCCUCACCGAAAAGUGGCGGGUUACUUGAAAUGCAGGUGCAGCUGGACUUUUCUCUGAGCUAUAAGCAUAUCUAUUUAGUCUACCUAAAAAACAGAUUAUUACCUUUGCUGCAGCUAACAUAAAGGAGAUUAGUUCUUGUGCUGACUGAUGCAGGAUUCACAAAGACGGCUUCGGCCGACUUUGUAAACUCGAUCUCAAAUCAAGUAAGACUACCCGCUGAACUUAAGCAUAUCAAUAAGCGGAGGA